UACGUAGGGGGCUAGCGUUGUCCGGAAUCAUUGGGCGUAAAGAGCGUGUAGGCGGUCCGGUAAGUCCGCUGUGAAAGUCGGGGGCUCAACCCUCGAAUGCCGGUGGAUACUGUCGGGCUAGAGUGCGGAAGAGGCGAGUGGAAUUCCUGGUGUAGCGGUGGAAUGCGCAGAUAUCAGGAGGAACACCGAUGGCGAAGGCAGGUCUCUGGGCCACUACUGACGCUGAGAAGCGAAAGCAUGGGGAGCGAACAGG
rnacentral:rRNA from 1 species